rnacentral:rRNA from 1 species
CAAGCCUGAUCCAGCCAUGCCGCGUGGGUGAAGAAGGCCUUCGGGUUGUAAAGCCCUUUUGUUGGGAAAGAAAAGCAGCCGGCCAAUACCCGGUUGUUCUGACGGUACCCAAAGAAUAAGCACCGGCUAACUUCGUGCCAGCAGCCGCGGUAAUACGAAGGGGGCUAGCGUUGUUCGGAAUUACUGGGCGUAAAGCGCACGUAGGCUGACUUUUAAGUCAGGGGUGAAAUCCCGGGGCUCAACCUCGGAACUGCCUUUGAUACUGGAAGUCUUGAGUCCGAGGGAGGUGAGUGGAACUCCGAGUGUAGAGGUGAAAUUCGUAGAUAUUCGGAAGAACACCAGUGGCGAAGGCGGCUCACUGGCUCGGUACUGACGCUGAGGUGCGAAAGCGUGGGGAGCAAACA